rnacentral:rRNA from 1 species
CCUACGGGGGGCAGCAGUGAGGAAUAUUGGUCAAUGGGCGCGAGCCUGAACCAGCCAAGUAGCGUGAAGGAUGACUGCCCUACGGGUUGUAAACUUCUUUUACAAAGGAAUAAAGUGAGGCACGUGUGCCUUUUGUAUGUACUUUAUGAAUAAGGAACGGGUAACUCCGUGCCAGCAGCCGCGGUAAUACGGAGGCUCCGAGCGUUUUCCGGAUUUAUUGGGUUUAAAGGGAGCGUAAGUGGGUUGUUAAGGCAGGUGUGAAAGUUUGCGGGUCAACCGUAAAAUUGCAAUUGAUACUGGGGGCCUUGAGUGCGGCUGAGGUAGGCGGAAUUCGUGGUGUAGCGGUGAAAUGCUUAGAUAUCACGAAGAACUCCGAUUGCGAAGGCAGCCUACUGAGCUGCCACUGACGUUGAUGCUCGAAAGUGUGGGUAUCGAACAGGAUUAGAUACCCGUGUAGUC